UACUUUAUUUAUUAAAUAAAAUACGUUCAUAUAUAACUUAUAUAUGUUAGUGAAAUUAUUCAACUUUUAUGUAUAAUACAUGUAACAUAAUAAUGAAAAACAUUUGUUAUAUUGUUUUAGCAACUCAAAGCAGUCCAAUGGUGGCAGCCAACAAUAUUAGUUAGUUAUUUUACACAUUCCAUACCCAUUAGUUUCUUUUAACUUAAGAUCAGUAGAUAUAGUCUAGACAAAUGUUUGUAUUAUUUUGUUAAAAAAAGUUUUUCAAUUGUUUUUUAGAAGAUGCUUUUGAGAGGAUAAGUCAGUUUCUUUGUUAUGCUUUAUUAUUUUAGUAUUUAGUUAUCUGCUUUCAGUAUUCAUUUAAAGAUCUUUAUUACAAUUAUCCACAAAAUUUUUUUACAGUUGUUUAUUUAUGUAUUCCUAAUUUUUGCUUUCUUUUUAUUGAGUCAUUGUUGUUUUUUUCUAUAGACAAUUUAGAACAAGUAGAGUUUAAACUAUUUUAGUUAUUUAGUCAUUUAAACUUAUUUUUUGCAAUGUUAGUGUUAUAGUUUAAUUUUAUAAUAAAGUUCGUAAUUUAAAAUUGGCUUUUAGGUGAAUUCAGACAGGCGAUAUGUAAGUUUGGUAAAUUUUAACAAUUUCAAUGGUAUAGUUUAAUGAUACACGCUAACUAAAGAUUAUUACUUUAUUAAUAAACACUAAAGGUGUUACAUAUCUAAUUUAAAGUUUGAACGUUGUUUUUAUAAUAAAGAAUCUUGUCUUUUAAAUAACUUAUUCGAAAAGAUAUUCCUUAAUAAAUAAAGUUUAUUUAUUAAGGAAUAUCUUUAUGAAUAAGUUAUUUUAAUAUAAAUUUAUUAAACUGUUUCAAAUUAUUAUUUGGCCACUAUCUAAUCUUUAUUUAUAACUUAAAUAUUUCUUUUGCUGUUUUAGAUGCUCAAAGUUAUAGUGAAGUUGUAGCCGACAACAUCAAUGAAGUUGCUUUAGAGAGGAUCAGUCAGUUAAACCCCUAUUAUAUGAUUUAAUAAUUUAGUAUUUAGUCAUUUACUACUAGCUUCUCUUACUGUGAUGGAGACAUUUAAAGAGGAAACAGCUAGUGCAUAGCUUCACAAUAUAGAUAGUGAGGAAUUAAUGGGUAUGUUUAGUGAUGCAAAAGUAUGGUUUCCUAAUGCAACAAUUUGCUAUAUCACUUGCAAACUAAGAUCAAAAAAGAAUAGGACUGUUGACUAUCUAGACACUCCAGAUUUAAGUUUAAGAGAAAAGAUUGUUAAAUGGUCAAUUAAUGUAGCACGUAAAAACAAAUUUACAUAUUGGCUGAAUCGAUGCAAAGUAAGAGAUGAGAUUUGCCAAAGACAAAAAAUCAAGUGGCAAAGUUAAUAAAAGAAAAAAUGACUUGACACCAUUUCUUACUGGAAAGAUGAUGAAACUGAUAUUGAAGCUGCUGACUAUUGCAUGAAAAAGACCCAGCAUGCUGCUGAUAUUGUUUCUGUACUAAAACAUCAACAUAUCUAUUAUGAGUUUUACAUUCAUCUCUCAUAUUUGGUGGUUGUCUGGUAUGAAUUUAUUUUUUAAAUUGUUUCCAGUUUCAUAAUUUUUUUUUUAAUUUAUUAUUCAAAUUUUGAAAACAGUAAUUGCAUAUUUUUUCUUUUUUUUUUUAGGUUGGGGGGGGGGGGUCAUACGCCCCUCCCAUAAUAGAAACACCACUUGUAUACAUAAGAUCUUGUAUAACAUAAUUUUAUAUUGUAUACUAGUUUUACUCAUUUUAGUAAAGAUUAAUAUUUAUAAAA